rnacentral:rRNA from 1 species
GCUUUGCUGACGAGUGGCGGACGGGUGAGUAAUGUCUGGGAAACUGCCUGAUGGAGGGGGAUAACUACUGGAAACGGUGGCUAAUACCGCAUAACGUCGCAAGACCAAAGAGGGGGACCUUCGGGCCUCUUGCCAUCAGAUGUGCCCAGAUGGGAUUAGCUUGUUGGUGAGGUAACGGCUCACCAAGGCGACGAUCCCUAUCUGGUCUGAGAGGAUGACCAGCCACACUGGAACUGAGACACGGUCCAGACUCCUACGGGAGGCAGCAGUGGGGAAUAUUGCACAAUGGGCGCAAGCCUGAUGCACCCAUGCCGCGUGUAUGAAGAAGGCCUUCGGGUUGUAAAGUACUUUCAGCGGGGAGGAAGGUGUUGUGGUUAAUAACCGCAGCAAUUGACGUUACCCGCAGAAGAAGCACCGGCUAACUCCGUGCCAGCAGCCGCGG